GUGAGCCAAGCCCUCAUUCCGUUGCAUUUCACAUAGAAUGGAGAUUCCUCCGUCUUUCCCAUGCUCCCACCUCCCAUCAUUAGAAGAAAAAUGGGAUUCCCAGGCCAAGCCUACACAGCGUUAACUGCAGUGGAAGAUUGUGCUUUUAUCAGAAGCAGCUGAACACCUGAGGACAGGAACAUGGCUGAAGCAAUUCAUUUCUCCAAUUCACUUUGUUCUACUUUAUCAUCAUCAUUCCGGUAUUAUCAUCAUGUUCAUCAGAUUCUCCAUCUAAAAAAGAUUUAUCACAGUGUCUGCAUCUGCAGGCGAUACUACAAUAUAGAUAAAACCAUUGCUCCCUGCCUGCUCCGGAUGAGUUUGCAAAGAGGUAUGGUAUAGAAGAAACACUUUGUGCUUUGAAGCAAGACAAAACUGAGUUAAAAUGGCAAUCUUAGCCUGGGCAACAUAGUGAGACCCCCAUCUCUGCAAAAAAUACAAAAAUUAGCUGAGCAUGGUGGUGCAUCUGUAGUCCCAGCUACUCGGUAGGCUAAGGCAGGAGAAUCGUCCGAACUUGGGAAAUUGAGGCUACAGUGAGCCAUGAUCGUGCCACUGCACUCCAGCCUGGGUGACAGAGAGAGACCCUGUCUCAAAAAAAUAAAAAAUAAAAUUGCG
rnacentral:lncRNA from 10 species